GCACCCCUACGGGGCGCAGCAGUGAGGAAUAUUGGUCAAUGGACGAGAGUCUGAACCAGCCAUGCCGCGUGCAGGAAGACGGCUCUAUGAGUUGUAAACUGCUUUUGUACAAGGGUAAACCUGAAUACGUGUAUUCAGCUGAAAGUACUGUACGAAUAAGGAUCGGCUAACUCCGUGCCAGCAGCCGCGGUAAUACGGAGGAUCCAAGCGUUAUCCGGAUUUAUUGGGUUUAAAGGGUGCGUAGGCGGAUUGAUAAGUUAGAGGUGAGAUGUCCGGGCUCAACUCGGGAACUGCCUCUAAUCCUG
rnacentral:rRNA from 1 species